GACAGAGGAUGCAAGCGUUAUCCGGAAUGAUUGGGCGUAAAGCGUCUGUAGGUGGCUUUUUAAGUCUGCCGUCAAAUCCCAGGGCUUAACCCUGGACAGGCGGUGGAAACUACCAAGCUGGAGUACGGUAGGGGCAGAGGGAAUUUCCGGUGGAGCGGUGAAAUGCGCAGAUAUCAGGAGGAACACCGGUGGCGAAGGCGGUUCUCUGGGCAUUACCUGACGCUGAGGCGCGAAAGCUAGGGGAGCAAACGGG
rnacentral:rRNA from 1 species